GACGAACGCUGGCGGCGUGCUUAACACAUGCAAGUCGAACGGAAAGGCCCUGCUUUUGUGGGGUGCUCGAGUGGCGAACGGGUGAGUAACACGUGAGUAACCUGCCCUUGACUUUGGGAUAACUUCAGGAAACUGGGGCUAAUACCGGAUAGGAGCUCCUGCUGCAUGGUGGGGGUUGGAAAGUUUCGGCGGUUGGGGAUGGACUCGCGGCUUAUCAGCUUGUUGGUGGGGUAGUGGCUUACCAAGGCUUUGACGGGUAGCCGGCCUGAGAGGGUGACCGGGACCGUUGGGAGUGAGAGAUGGGAGAGGGAGCUACAGGGAGCAGGGCGGGGGGCGGUGGAAGGUGUGGCGGUAGAGAGAUGUAGCAACGACGGGUAGGGGGGGGAGUACUUGGGGUUGUAAAACGCUCUCGCAUGUGACAGAGGGUGGGUGCCGGUGGGGGAUACCAAAAGACCAGCUGAGUCCCUG
rnacentral:rRNA from 1 species